AACACCUGUUCCCAUAUGAUAACUGAAGUUAAGCAAUGUCAAUACUGGUCAGUACCUAAAUGGGUGACCACUUGGGAACACCAGGUGCUGUAA